AUUGAACGCUGGCAGCAGGCUUAACACAUGCAAGUCGAGCGGGGUGAUGGUGCUUGCACUAUCACUUAGCGGCGGACGGGUGAGUAAUGCUUAGGAAUCUGCCUAUUAGUGGGGGACAACAUCUCGACAGGGAUGCUAAUACCGCAUACGUCCUACGGGGGAAAGCAGGGGAUCACUUGUGACCUUGCGCUAAUAGAUGAGCCUAAGUCGGAUUAGCUAGUUGGCGGGGUAAAGGCCUACCAAGGCGACGAUCUGUAGCGGGUCUGAGAGGAUGAUCCGUCACACUGGGACUGAGACACGGCCCAGACUCCUACGGGAGGCAGCAGUGGGGAAUAUUGGACAAUGGGGGGAACCCUGAUCCAGCCAUGCCGCGUGUGUGAAGAAGGCCUUAUGGUUGUAAAGCACUUUAAGCGAGGAGGAGGCUCUUUUGGUUAAUACCCAGAAUGAGUGGACGUUACUCACAGAAUAAGCACCGGCUAACUCUGUGCCAGCAGCCGCCGUAA
rnacentral:rRNA from 1 species